rnacentral:rRNA from 1 species
CUACGGGCCGCUGCAGUGGGGAAUAUUGCACAAUGGGCGCAAGCCUGAUGCAGCCAUGCCGCGUGUAUGAAGAAGGCCUUCGGGUUGUAAAGUACUUUCAGCGGGGAGGAAGGGAGUAAAGUUAAUACCUUUGCUCAUUGACGUUACCCGCAGAAGAAGCACCGGCUAACUCCGUGCCAGCAGCCGCGGUAAUACGGAGGGUGCAAGCGUUAAUCAGAAUUACUGGGCGUAAAGCGCACGCAGGCGGUUUGUUAAGUCAGAUGUGAAAUCCCCGGGCUCAACCUGGGAACUGCAUCUGAUACUGGCAAGCUUGAGUCUCGUAGAGGGGGGUAGAAUUCCAGGUGUAGCGGUGAAAUGCGUAGAGAUCUGGAGGAAUACCGGUGGCGAAGGCGGCCCCCUGGACGAAGACUGACGCUCAGGUGCGAAAGCGUGGGGAGCAAACAGGAUUAAUACCCCCGUAGUC